AACAGGGAUUGCCCUAGUAACGGCGAGUGAAGCGGCAACAGCUCAAAUUUGAAAUCUGGCUCCUUUGGGGCCCGAGUUGUAAUUUGUAGAGGGUGCUUUGGCGUUGGCUCCGACCUAAGUUCCUUGGAACAGGACGUCACAGAGGGUGAGAAUCCCGUACGUGGCCGGCCGCCUUCGCCGUGUAAAGCCCCUUCGACGAGUCGAGUUGUUUGGGAAUGCAGCUCUAAAUGGGAGGUAAAUUUCUUCUAAAGCUAAAUAUUGGCCAGAGACCGAUAGCGCACAAGUAGAGUGAUCGAAAGAUGAAAAGCACUUUGGAAAGAGAGUCAAAAAGCACGUGAAAUUGUUGAAAGGGAAGCGCUUGCAGCCAGACUUGCCUGUAGUUGCUCAUCCGGGCUCUUGCCCGGUGCACUCUUCUGCUGGCAGGCCAGCAUCAGUUUGGGCGGCCGGAUAAAGGCCCCAGGAAUGUAGCUCCCUCGGGAGUGUUAUAGCCUGGGGUGCCAUGCGGCCAGCCUGGACUGAGGUCCGCGCAUCUGCUAGGAUGCUGGCGUAAUGGCUGUAAGCGGCCCGUCUUGAAACACGGACCAAGGAGUCUAACAUCUAUGCGAGUGUUUGGGUGUCAAGCCCGGGCGCGUAAUGAAAGUGAACGGAGGUGGGAACCCUCGGGUGCACCAUCGACCGAUCCUGAUGUCUUCGGAUGGAUUUGAGUAAGAGCAUAGCUGUUGGGACCCGAAAGAUGGUGAACUAUGCCUGAAUAGGGUGAAGCCAGAGGAAACUCUGGUGGAGGCUCGCAGCGGUUCUGACGUGCAAAUCGAUCGUCAAAUUUGGGCAUAGGGGCGAAAGACUAAUCGA
rnacentral:rRNA from 1 species